rnacentral:rRNA from 1 species
CCUACGGGUGGCUGCAGUGAGGAAUAUUGGUCAAUGGACGAGAGUCUGAACCAGCCAAGUAGCGUGAAGGAUGAAUGCCCUAUGGGUUGUAAACUUCUUUUAUAGGGGAAUAAAAUGUUCCACGUGUGGGAUUUUGUAUGUACCAUAUGAAUAAGGAUCGGCUAACUCCGUGCCAGCAGCCGCGGUAAUACGGAGGAUCCGAGCGUUAUGCGGAUUUAUUGGGUUUAAAGGGAGCGUAGGUGGCUUGUUAAGUCAGUUUUGAAAGUUUGCGGCUCAACCGUAAAAUUGCAGUUGAAACUGGCAGUCUUGAGUCCAGUAGAGGUGGGCGGCAUUCGUGUUGUAGCGGUGCACUGCUUAGAUCUCAC